rnacentral:rRNA from 1 species
GAUGAACGCUGGCGGCGUGCCUAAUACAUGCAAGUCGAGCGAACAGAUAAGGAGCUUGCUCCUUUGACGUUAGCGGCGGACGGGUGAGUAACACGUGGAUAACCUACCUAUAAGACUGGGAUAACUUCGGGAAACCGGAGCUAAUACCGGAUAAGAUUUUGAACCGCAUGGUUCAAUAGUGAAAGACGGCUUUGCUGUCACUUAUAGAUGGAUCCGCGCCGUAUUAGCUAGUUGGUAAGGUAACGGCUUACCAAGGCAACGAUACGUAGCCGACCUGAGAGGGUGAUCGGUCACACUGGAACUGAGACACGGUCCAGACUCCUACGGGAGGCAGCAGUAGGGAAUCUUCCGCAAUGGGCGAAAGCCUGACGGAGCAACGCCGCGUGAGUGAUGAAGGUCUUCGGAUCGUAAAACUCUGUUAUCAGGGAAGAACAAACGUGUAAGUAACUGUGCACGUCUUGACGGUACCUAAUCAGAAAGCCACGGCUAACUACGUG